CAGGCAGCAGCUGCAUCACUCUGCACAUAAGGAACAGAUCGAACUUGGGACCUUCCGCUUGCAAGGCAGCGGCUCUGACAUCAUGGUGACUGCCGCAGCAGGGAGAUGAGUGAUUGUUCCUACAUCCGGCCUGCUCCCGUGUUCGCCUUCUGGGUAUUUUCUCACUGCUGCUUUGUGAAUUUCUGCAACAACCCUCAAAACAGACAGGCCUACAUUCAAUAGGAGUAAACCCCACCCAUCUCCUCCCUUCUGAUUGUCACCUAGGCUCAGCCAGGGGACUUCCGAUCCCUGCCUCCUGCGAGUCCCUGGACCCGGGCCUGGCCUCUCAGCUUCUCAGUUGACACCCCACCCUCCCUACUUCCACUCUGCCCCAAGACUCCCUGUCUUGCCCGAAGUCCUCAGUUUUUCCUCCAAAAUAAAUCAAUCUGCCAAGUGUUCCGUUUGUCUCUUUUCUGGUAGGUGGAGGCUACAGGCGGUGAGCCUGCCAGCCUGCCUUACCACAGGGACAGGCGAGGGGCACCCAGCUCUGCUCCUGCCCCGUUUCUGUAGCCCUGCUUCAGCUCCAGGCACAAAGAGGAAGAGGACCUGGAAGCCUCCUGUGGUGAAGGUUCGGAGGUCAGAGGGCACCCUGAGAUGGGUCAGACCACAGCUGGGUGGCAGCUGGAGGAAGCUUCCUCAGCCUAAGCCCGUCUUCCAGUUUGACCUGCUAGAGCUGCGU
rnacentral:lncRNA from 1 species